UGGGUAAUCUGCCCUCGGUUCCGGGAUAGCCCGGGGAAACCCGGAUUAAUACCGGAUAGCCUCUCGAGCUUUCGGGCUCGUGAGAAAAGGUAGCUUCGGCCUCCGAUCGAGGAUGAGCCCGCGGCGGAUUAGCUUGUUGGUGAGGUAACGGCUCACCAAGGCGACGAUCCGUAGCUGGUCUGAGAGGACGAUCAGCCACACUGGGACUGAGACACGGCCCAGACCUCCGUACGGGAGCAGC
rnacentral:rRNA from 1 species